rnacentral:lncRNA from 1 species
GCAGGUGUCAGCAUUGUCGGUGGAGCAGGUGGUAGCAGAGGGCAGCGGCGGCACAUGGGCAAGGGUUAAAAGACCUAGGUGGCUAGGGUUUCUUUUUUUUUUAUUUGGUGUUGGGCUGCUGUAGGGCUUAAUUGGGUAUUGGGAUAGGUUUAGAUUUGGGCCUUUUGGGUGUGGAUUAUUUAUUUUAUUUUAUUGUUUUUGUUUUGGCACUAGGCCCGGGAAAAUUUGGGCUUGUACAUCAAUCAUUAUGGCUAAAAGCACCAUCAACAUUGAUUUUAAUCUAGCCUUCUAGUGGCUUCACCCAAUGAUUAAGCAUAGGUACAAAAGUCGCAAUGUUAAUCUCCUUGCUAGCUUGAGCAAAAAUGCAUUCAUGUG